GAAGAGAACAGGAGAGAGGAGGCUGUGGUCUGACCUUCCUCCAAAAAGCCCGGAAUCCCUGAGUCGGUCUCUGGCAGCUGUGGAACAGAGGGAGCAUGGGAUCUGAACCGUGCCGCCAUCUGGGAGAUCACACACACAACCAAACCCCGGAAGGAAACUCGAGCUGAAAUACACCGUUUGCUAAGGAGCUGGACUGGGCACUAACUUCGUUCUGAAUUUCUAGAAAGGGAAAGCUCUCCCUUUCCAGGCGGCGUCUACCACCCCUUCCCACCGCCGCCCCUCCAGCCCACACCCUUUCCUCUCCUAAACCCCCUGUGAGGACCCUCAGCAAACUUCCGCAAGGCCUGACGAGCCCUGGGUGCGGGGUGGUGUGGACGCAGAUCUUUCGGUCCAAAGGGAAGGCUGCGGGGGCGUGGGCGUGGAGGUGCGAGGAGGGCGCAGCCUCCGCCUGCCUGGCUGUCUCCGCGGACCCCGCCGAGGGUGGGAGAGAAGCGCUGGGAAAAGGAAGGGGAGAAGGAGCCCGAGCAGUAGGCGAGUGAGCGGUUGUUUUGCUCCUCCCAAAGAGGAGGGCGGCUCCGCUGUGCUCCUGACAACCCGGCCGCCGCCGCUGCCGCCCUGGCACCGCUCCCCGGGACCCGUUGGCGCUGACACUGAUGACCGGCGGCGGGGCGCGGGGAGAGGGGCGCGCAGGACACCGGCCGCCGGCUCUCGGGCCCGCUCCUGUCGCCGGCUUCCGCUGCUUCCGCUACCCUCCCUCAGCCGCGAGAAGAGGAGCUCUGGCGACUUCCGGCCUUCCCUGGGGGUCUGCGCAGGCCCCUAACCCAACCCGCCCAGGGAAGAGGCGUGAAGGGGUUGGCCGUGAUGCAGAGGCGGGAAACUCAGGUGGGAUGCGAGGGUGGAGAACGCGACGCAGGGAGGCGGGGUGGACCCCCAGCGUACUCCAGUAGUCGGCAGGAGCUAACCCCCAGCCUGCAACCCAGAGCCAAGCACAGACUGAUGUGGCAUAAGUGCUCGAUAAACACCCAUGGACUUGGCUAAUGGAUGGACUUGGAGGGGACACUGCCCGAUCAGAUGAGAAAGGUGGCCUUACUCGCAUCUGUCCUACCAAGAGGAACCUAAGGUCCUACUGCCUGGGGGUGUCUCAAAAAUCGGCAGAAUCCAGUUCUCCCCCCACCAUCCAUCCUUCCUUGCCUCCAGCCCCCUUGGCUAUCUGGAUCCCCGCGGGUUUGGAGAGGCCGAUGUUUGUGGCUCUUACCAACAUCAAUUUGCAGUCGCCAGGAUGCAACUUCACCCUAUGCUGCGUUCAUAAAUUAAUCUCCUGGGAUUAGAUUCUGUGUUUUAGUAACACUCCUGAGGCAUUGUAUUUACACAUUAAUAAUAAAAGAAAAAAAGUGAGACAAGUUCUGACAACUUUCAAUAACAUUCAGAAAUAAAGUGUGAGGCGCGGAAGUGUCCAAAGUUAAUUAAAACCAUUUGGUGCUGACGGGGGCUGGGGGUGUUGCCUGCCAAGCUCCGACAGGUGCUAUUUCUGAAAUGCAAUUUCCCUGUCUAUAAUGUACCUGAUGCCUGCAGAAAAGGAGAAACUGAAAUAAACUGGACUGGCAGCGUGAGCU